rnacentral:rRNA from 1 species
AGUGAACGCUGGCGGUAGGCCUAACACAUGCAAGUCGAACGGCAGCACAGUAAGAGCUUGCUCUUACGGGUGGCGAGUGGCGGACGGGUGAGGAAUACAUCGGAAUCUACUUUUUCGUGGGGGAUAACGUAGGGAAACUUACGCUAAUACCGCAUACGACCUACGGGUGAAAGCAGGGGAUCUUCGGACCUUGCGCGAUUGAAUGAGCCGAUGUCGGAUUAGCUAGUUGGCGGGGUAAAGGCCCACCAAGGCGACGAUCCGUAGCUGGUCUGAGAGGAUGAUCAGCCACACUGGAACUGAGACACGGUCCAGACUCCUACGGGAGGCAGCAGUGGGGAAUAUUGGGCAAUGGGCGCAAGCCUGAUCCAGCCACACCGCGUGGGUGAAGAAGGUCUUCGGGUUGUAAAGCCCUGUUGUUGGGAAAGAAAAGCAGCAGGUUAAUACCCCGAUGUUCUGACGGUACCCAAAGAAUAAGCACCGGCUAACUUCGUG